CGUUCCCACGUUACCCUCGCGCGCACUUGGGGAGCCCUGCCGCACGUAUAUCGAUUAGCCCCAGUGAACCAAUUCCUCAACAGAACAGAGAACAGAGAACACAGAACCGAACCACGGAUAGAACGCAAUCGCAAUUAGUGCUGCUGCUGCUGCUGCUGCUACUGAUACUUUGUUGCCCAGUUCGGUGGCGACUCCCUGGCUAGCGCAACCGAAACAGAAACCGCAGCCGAACGCCAGUGCGCAUUCCCUCUUCCGGUAUUCGGGUAAUCCGGUAUCGAUCAAACAAGGGGCACCCCGUACACAUGUGAGUGGCGUGGCAACGUCAACGUGUGCCGCCGUCAGACCCACAGCGGAACCGCCACUCAGUCAGAACCGUCAGGCAGUCGGCAGUCGAGCGAGAGGAGGGAGCGGAGGAGCGUCUGCUACACGGGGAUUAGCACCAUCUCAGAUAGAAAUCUACGCGCACGCGACUUGCCGCGACAUUCGAGUGGCAUCGAAGAAAAGUGAAAGCCAAAGGAAAGCCAAGGAACCCCAUCUUCAGGUCACUCGAGGUGGAAGGGCGAACUGGAGACAGCAGCAGGAGCAGAAGCAGCAGCAACAGCAGGACCGCAGCAAGUGCAUGGGUUGAGGAGAGAGAGGCGCAGGAAUGGGCGAUUCAGACAGCGAGGACAGCGAUGGAGAGGGCGGCCUGGGCAAUGUGUCCCGCGUGAUUAUCCGUCCGCCGGGGCAGAGCGGCAAGGCGAAGCGGGGCCAUCUGUGCUUCGAUGCGGCCUUCGAGACGGGGAAUCUGGGCAAGGCCGAGCUGGUGGGGGAGUUCGAGUACGAUCUGUUCCUGCGGCCGGACACGUGCAAUCCGCGCUUCCGCUUCUGGUUCAACUUCACGGUGGACAACGUCAAGCAGGACCAGCGGGUGCUCUUCAACAUCGUGAACCUCAGCAAGAGCCGCAAUCUGUUCGCCUCCGGCCUCACGCCACUCGUCAAGAGCUCCAGUCGGCCCAAGUGGCAGCGGAUGUCCAAGCGGCAGGUGUUCUUCUACCGGUCGGCCAUGCACCAGGGCCACUACGUCCUCAGCUUUGCCUUCAUCUUCGAGAAGGAGGAGGACGUCUACCAGUUCGCUCUGGCCUGGCCCUACAGCUACUCCCGCCUCCAGUCCUAUUUGAAUGUGAUCGAUGCACGGCAGGGCACAGACAAGCGCUUCACGCGAUGCGUCCUCAUCAAGUCGCUGCAAAACAGAAAUGUGGAUCUGCUGACCAUCGAUCAGGUGACGCAUAAGCAGCGCUCCACUAAUCGCUUGGAUCGCAGCUUCAUUCGUGUCAUCGUGAUCGUCUGUCGGACGCACUCCAGCGAGGCCCCCGCCUCCCACGUCUGCCAGGGCCUCAUCGAGUUCCUCGUGGGCAACCAUCCGAUAGCGGCGGUCCUGCGCGAGAACUUUGUGUUCAAGAUCGUGCCGAUGGCCAAUCCGGAUGGCGUGUUCCUGGGCAACAACCGCUGCAAUCUGAUGGGCCAGGACAUGAACCGCAACUGGCAUCUGGCCUCGGAGUUCACGCAGCCGGAGCUGCACGCCAUCAGGGGGAUGCUGAAGGAGCUGGAUAAUUCGGAUACAUAUCAGAUUGAUUUCGUGAUCGAUCUGCAUGCCAACAGCAGCAUGCACGGCUGCUUCGUGUACGGGAACACGUACGAGGAUGUCUACCGCUACGAGCGACACCUGGUCUUCCCGCGACUCUUCGCCAGCAAUGCCCCCGACUAUGUGGCCGAGCACACGAUGUUCAAUGCCGACGACCGAAAGGCGGGCAGCCUCAGGAGAUUCAGCUGCGAGCGCCUCAGCGACACGGUAAACGCCUACACCCUGGAGGUGUCCAUGGCGGGUCAUUUUCUGCGCGACGGCAAGACGGUGGCCCUCUACAACGAGGAUGGAUACUACCGCGUGGGUAGGAAUCUCGCCCGCACCCUGCUCCAGUACUACCGCUUUAUCAACAUCCUGCCCGUGCCCCUCGUGCCAGAGGUGCGGGGCAAACGAAGGGGCCGCCUGCGCAACCAGCACUCCCGCUCACGUUCCAAGACGCGCUACGAGGUCAAGCCCCGACCCAAGACCCCGCGCUGUCACGCCCCCAUAUCGUACAACAAUCUGAGCAUCUGCUACGAUUCCGGAGGAGGUGGAGGAGGAUCCUCCGAUGAAGGAGGGUUCUCCCCCGUCCGACCACUGGCACCCGGAAGCAGCAGCUUCAGCGGCUGCCGCAACUACCGGAGGGCGGCUACUGCCACUUGCCCUGCGGCCCACGAUCAGUAUUCCUCUUUUUCCUUGGGUGCACUCAAAACAGGAAGUGAUCAUGGAGGAGCCGUUGGCCAGGGCAAGAGAUCGGCGAGGGUGACCAUCGAGGUGCCGCUGCCCGUGAACGUACCCCCCAAGCCCUACCUCUCCAUCAUUGACCUCAAUCAGCUGACGAGGGGCAGCCUGAAGCUCAAAUCGAACAGUUUCGAUGCAGCCGACAGGCGAUAGAAAGAGAGUGAGUGAGUGAGUGAGAGAGAGAGAGAGUAAGUGGAUAACUGUAAUUGUUCCUUUUGUACGCUUUCCGCUUCGUUUUUUCUAAAUAAACAGUUAAUGUCUGCGAAAAUUGAGCAACAAGUCAGGUGGGUCGGCGAAUGAGUGGGAAUGCCAUUUGCUGGGCUUAUCCGCUUAUCUCUGUGCUGUUGCGCACCAUUUGGCCCCCUGCCAGGAGGCGAUUCGUCGGGAGGGGAAUGACUCGACUCAUUGCAUUGCGAGAUAGCACUCAUCACUCGUAUCAAGUCGAAUCAUGUCUAGGUGGAUGUCUAUUGCAUAUUAAAAGCGCCGUUAGAUGUGACUACGAACAAAUAAACAAAGAGCAGCCACUAUGCAAACACACGAACACACAGACACACAGUGUGAGAAAUGAGUGGCAAGUGAGUCGAGUGUGUGCGACGCGACCUUCUACUCAACAACAGCACCAAAUUAUAUCAAUGCA
rnacentral:misc_RNA from 1 species